rnacentral:rRNA from 1 species
UACAGAGGGUGCAAGCGUUAAUCGGAAUUACUGGGCGUAAAGCGUGCGUAGACGGUUACAUAAGUCGGGUGUGAAAGCCCCGGGCUCAACCUGGGAAUUGCAUUCGAGACUGCUCUGCUAGGGUGCGGAAGAGGGAAGCGGAAUUUCCGGUGUAGCGGUGAAAUGCGUAGAUAUCGGAAGGAACACCAGUGGCGAAAGCGGCUUCCUGGUCCAGCACCGACGUUCAGGCACGAAAGCGUGGGGAGCAAACAGG